UGUCAAUCCUUACAGAAUGCAGACACCACUAAAAGAGGCAUCAGGGAGUGUUGGUUGGUGACGUCGGGUCCGAGUGACGUCGCCGAGGAAACAGAGGGUGUCUCAGCUAGCUUGUCGGGCUUCCACGCCUUGGCUGGCUCGAGAGGUCGUCUUGCCUCGGUGGGCUCGGCAGGCACCCACCCGAUGUCAUGCUUCGACCUGCUUAUCGGGCUCCCACGCCUCAGCCGGUUCGUCAGGCUCCCACACCUCAGCGGGAUCGUCGGGCUCCCACGCCUCAGCGGGAUCGUCGGGCUCCCACACCUCUGCCGGCUUGUCCAGCUCCCGUUUUUAUUUAUUUUUUAAACCUUUUUUUUUAAACUAGGCAAGUCAGUUAAGAAUAAAUUCUUAUGUUCAAUGACGGCCUAGUAACAGUGGGUUAACUGCCUUGUUCAGGGGCAGAACAACAGAUUUUUACCCUGUUAGCUAGGGGAUUCGAUCUUGCAACCUUUCGGUUACUAGUCCAACGUUCUAACCACUAGGCUACCUGCCACCCCAUGCCUCAGCCAGCCGGUCAGGUUCGCCAGGUGGGAUGCCGGGUGGCGCCCCUAGAGGGGGGGGGUGCUCCCGCUCUCCCUUUCUGGCGCUCAAGGGCGCCAGGUUGCUCUUCAUUACACACCUGUCACCAUCAUUAUGUGCAGCAGCGCUCAUUGGACUCACCUGGACUCCUUCCCUUUGUUGAUUGCCCCGUCUAUAACUGUCUCCUCCCCUGUUUGUUCCCUGUGUCUGCAUUAAUGUCAUUAUGUGUUCUUGUCCAGAUGCUGUCCUGUCCUGUUCCAUGUCCGUUGCCAUUAAAUGUUCACUCGCUGUACCUGCUUCUUGUCUCUACCAGCUUCGAUCCUUACAAAUAAAGUAAGUAGCCGAUUAACUUGGAGAAACAUUAACAAAUGAUAUGUUAGAUUCACUAAACCAAAAUAAAAGUCAACGGAUAGGAUUAAGCCAGUGGCUCAGAUGCAUUAGAUAGCCAAGCAUUAGAUAUUUUUUAGCAGUUGAUGUUAUUCUUCUAUAAGACAGACCCCAAAGCAAAACAGAGGAAGAAAAAUAGGUUUAUUCAAAGAUAACAAAUAAUAGAUAUUAUGCUGAGAUGUUAAUUCUUCCUUGUCCUCAGUUUUCUCCACAGAACAAAGGCACAGGAUGUAAUUUAUAACCUCCAACCCUAGCCUGUGGUUGACCAAUUAGAAUUCCUUGCAGUAAAAUUGGGCCAACGGCCCAGCUUCAGGCUCAAUGUAUAGACGAUUCAGACCAAUGAGAUCUUGCCACACGUAGCUAUGAGUCCAGGACUGAAAUCCUUACACAGAUUCUAACCAGAUGUCGAUCUGAAAAACAACUGUUUCAAUUGAUCGUUAAUUCCAUAUUGACCUCUAGUCCUCUGCGUUGUGUAUUAUCUUAAAACAUUCUUACAAUAUUCGUCAAAUGUUUAUAUUUGUUUGUGUUGUCAACCAAACACAAUUCAAUAUUUUUUUUUUGUAAUACAGUAAAGAUCCUUAAAUUAAGGUUAUUUUUACAAAC
rnacentral:lncRNA from 13 species